GAUGAACGCUGGCGGCGUGCCUAAUACAUGCAAGUCGAGCGAACGGACGAGAAGCUUGCUUCUCUGAUGUUAGCGGCGGACGGGUGAGUAACACGUGGAUAACCUACCUCUAAGACUGGGAUAACUUCGGGAAACCGGAGCUAAUACCGGAUCAUAUUUUGAACCGCAUGAUUCAAAAGUGAAAGACGGUCUUGCUGUCACUUAUAGAUGGAUCCGCGCUGCAUUAGCUAGUUGGUAAGGUAACGGCUUACCAAGGCAACGAUGCAUAGCCGACCUGAGAGGAUGAUCGGCCACACUGGAACUGAGACACGGUCCAGACUCCUACGGGAGGCAGCAGUAGGGAAUCUUCCGCAAUGGGCGAAAGCCUGACGGAGCAACGCCGCGUGAGUGAUGAAGGUCUUCGGAUCGUAAAACUCUGUUAUUAGGAAAGAACAGAUGUGUAAGAAACUGCGCACAUCUUGACGGUACCUAAUCAGAAAGCCACGGCUAACUACGUG
rnacentral:rRNA from 1 species